CCUCUGAAUCUUAGAAACUGGAACUAAAUUUUAGAUUUGACGGAAGCAGUAUCGGACGGAAAAAAAAUCUCAUCAUAGAAUACAAAAUCUUACCGGUUGCCCAUGGCAUCAAAGGUCGAACUCAAACGAAAAAGAGAAGCGUAGCCUAGAACAGCUGCUGCCUGUGAGAGAAACCAAUCCAUCAGUUGCAGAAACGAAUAAAAAAGGAAGAACGAUCGAAGAACUUGAAAGAAACCUAGAGUGCUGGAGAUGGCACUGCUGCUCUAAUUACAUCGGCCAUGGGCCAUUGGCAAUCAAAUUGAUGAGUGGCAGACGAAUUUUUUGGAGUCAAAGGCUGAAACACAAACAAAAAAGAGAAGCGUAGCCUAGAACAACUGCUGCAUGCGAGAGAAACCAAUCCAUCAGUCGCAGAAAUGAAUCAAAAAGGAAGAACGAUUGAAGAACAAUCGAAGAACCUGAAAGGAACCUGGAGUGCUGGAGAUGGCGCUGCUGCUCUAAUUACAUCGGCCAUGGGCCAUUGGCAAUCAAAUUGAUGAGUGG
rnacentral:lncRNA from 1 species